GUCUCCGGCGGCUCGGCGAUGCCAAGGUCCAGGGCCUUGUUGAUGAGCGACCAGCGCGGCAGGUCGUCCCAGUCGACCAGGGUCAC
rnacentral:tRNA from 1 species